CCUACGGGAGGCAGCAGUGGGAAUCUUGCGCAAUGGGCGAAAGCCUGACGCAGCCAUGCCGCGUGUAUGAUGAAGGUCUUAGGAUUGUAAAAUACUUUCACCGGUGAAGAUAAUGACUGUAGCCGGAGAAGAAGCCCCGGCUAACUUCGUGCCAGCAGCCGCGGUAAUACGAAGGGGGCUAGCGUUGCUCGGAAUUACUGGGCGUAAAGGGAGCGUAGGCGGACAUUUAAGUCAGAGGUGAAAUCCCGGAGCUUAACUUCGGAACUGCCUUUGAUACUGGGUGUCUUGAGUGUGAGAGAGGUAUGUGGAACUCCGAGUGUAGAGGUGAAAUUCGUAGAUAUUCGGAAGAACACCAGUGGCGAAGGCGACAUACUGGCUCAUUACUGACGCUGAGGCUCGAAAGCGUGGGGAGCAAACAGGAUUAGAUACCCUGGUAGUCCACGCCGUAAACGAUGAUUGCUAGUUGUCGGGAAGCUUGCUUCUCGGUGACGCNGCUACGCAUANACACUCCGCCGUGGGAGGUACGGUCGCGAGAAUUAAACGUUAAAGUAAGUAGACGGCGUGAGACGUCGCCGACGGACGACGACGAGGGAGGUUAGG
rnacentral:rRNA from 1 species